rnacentral:rRNA from 1 species
UACAGAGGGUGCGAGCGUUAAUCGGAAUAAUUGGGCGUAAAGGGUGCGUAGGUGGCUAUAUAAGUCUUAUGUGAAAGUCAAUGGCUUAACCAUUGGAGGCCAUAAGAGACUGUAUAGCUAGAGUACUGUAGAGGGUAGUGGAAUUUCUGGUGUAGCGGUGAAAUGCGUAGAUAUCAGAAGGAACAUCAGUGGCGAAGGCGACUACCUGGACAGAUACUGACACUGAGGCACGAAUGCGUGGGUAGCGAACAGG